AUGCGGCGCUGGCGGGGCGCGGGGCUGGCGGCGCUGGCCGCGGUGCUGCUCGUGGCUGCAGGCAGAGCCCAGGUGCAGCAGGAGCCGUUGGCACAAACCCCCGAGGGCACGGAAAUCACCAUCAACCGGGCAGUGGCUGUGGGCAGAGUCCAGGUACUGCAGGACCCAUCGACAGAGACCAUCAAGGGCAUCGGUAUAUCUAUCAACUGCUCCCACCCCAAAAUCCAGUUCAAUGAGUACAUCUACUGGUACCGUCAGCUCCCUGGCCGAGAACCCGCACUCCUCAUGAGCGGUCAGAAAGGGUUCAGAGAGAUGCCGGACCCUCCUGGGUGGCUGUCAGUGUCGCCAGACCGUCGCUGGAGCACCCUCUGUCUCUCCGGGCCCCGUGUUGGGGACGCGGCGGUGUAUUACUGCGCCGUGGCAGACACGGCCAGAGGAGCCGGGGCUGCGGCCGGGCACGAACCGCCGCGGGCGGGGCCGGGGGCACAGCGCCGGCCGGGGCCAGCAGGGCUUUGUCAAAUGCUGUAAAUCCCACCUGAGCUCAGACUCACUGACACCCUCGUCUUUGGAGCUUUCAGGGGAUUUUCUUAGAAAUACACAACUCAGUUAAUUGUUCCUACAGCGGAGCAAAGUAGCGCCCCUUUGAAAACAGGGCGUUCCACUCCUACAUAAAGCACAGGCUUGUGACCGAAUGUCUGGGUGCCAAGUGACAUACACAGCACAGCACAGGUCUGGGCAUACUCCAGUCAGCUGCAAUGUGUGUCCCUGACUUCUCCUGAGAAAUCGUCUCCUGGAUACUCUGAUCCGUUCCGGGCAGGCACUGAGAUUCUCUGGUUCAUGAGGAUCUUUUGUUUGGAUAGGGGGAGAAUUCUGACCUUGCCCGCAGUGUGGAAAAGGGACAGACAGACAGACAGUGAAACCGGCCUUGUUGGGCCGAAAUCAGCAGCAGCGGAGCGAGAGCUGUGGACGGACAGGAAGAGAAGGGCUCCGGAGGCAGAACCUGCAUUUCUCUGCCUCUUCCCUGGACACAGCUGUAGGGGGCAGGUGCCGUCAGCACUCAGCUGCACCCACGCGCCUUCUGACCCUGGCAACCUGCUGCUCUGUGGAGUUCAGGGCCAGCGGAGAGGACGGUAUCCCUGGAAUAGGCAGCAAAUGAACUUCCCAUGAGGGUGUUACGAUCUGCUUAAAUAUUGCAGAAAGAGUUUUUGGAUUUGAAUAUUCCCUUGAGCAAAAUUAAAACUCAUACAAGUUAUCUGUUGA